AAAGGAAUAGACGGGGGCCCGCACAAGCGGAGGAACAUGUGGUUUAAUUCGAUGAUACGCGAGGAACCUUACCCGGGCUCGAACGGUGCAGGAAUAUGGUAGAGAUAUCAUAGCUAGCAAUAGCCUGUAUCGAGGUGCUGCAUGGUUGUCGUCAGCUCGUGCCGUGAGGUGUAGGCUUAAGUGCCAUAACGAGCGCAACCCUUGUCGUUAGUUACCAUCAAGUCAUGUUGGGGACUCUAGCGAGACUGCCACCGUAAGGUGUGAGGAAGGGGGGGAUGACGUCAAAUCAGCACGGCCCUUACGUCCGGGGCGACACACGUGUUACAAUGGUAGGUACAGAGGGUUGCUACCCAGCGAUGGGAUGCUAAUCUCUUAAACCCUAUCUCAGUUCGGAUCGGAGUCUGCAAUUCGACUCCGUGAAGUUGGAUUCGCUAGUAAUCGCACAUCAGCCACGGUGCGGUGAAUACGUUCCCGGGCCUUGCACACACCGCCCGU
rnacentral:rRNA from 1 species